rnacentral:rRNA from 1 species
UUAAAAAGCUCGUAGUUGGAUUUCUGGGAGGGUGCCAUGUCCGUCAACGUACGUGUGCAGCGGCGCCCUUCCUUCCUUCUGUUAACGCCUCUGGGCAUUUAUUUGCUGGUGGCGGGCUCAGAUAUUUUACCUUGAGAAAAUUAGAGUGUUUCAGGCAGGACUAGGCCGGAAUACAUUAGCAUGGAAUAAUAGAAUAGGACUAUGGUCUCUUUGUUGGUUUGAGGGACUAUGGUAAUGAUUAAUAGGGAUAGUUGGGGG